GAGAAGGACUGGCAAACAGAUCCAACAUAUAUAAACCAGGAGACCAAGUGGUAGAAAUUGUGAUACAGAGACUGGAAAACUUUGAAAUAACAGCAGAUGAAGACCACGAUCUUAAUUAAAUUUCGCUGAAGAGGUCAAUCAGAAUGAUUGUUCCUGCUUCUUCUCAGGCCCACUUAACAUAACUCUGACGUAUGGUUCCCCUCAGCAAUGUAAACGGGGAAACUUGAGCACUCUAGGAAGAGCUGACAGGCAGCAAGGAAGGCG